rnacentral:piRNA from 1 species
UAAGGAAACAGAAGUGACAGGCUUAGGUGU